rnacentral:rRNA from 1 species
CAGACCCUUAAUAGCGGCGGACUGGUGAGUAACGCGUGGGUGACCUACCUUGAGGUUCGGGGAUAGCUGUUAGAAAUAGCAGGUAAUACCGGAUAAGGUUAUACAGCUAAGGCUGUAUGAAGAAAGGGGCAUAUAAGCCUCGCCUUGAGAUGGGCCCGCGUCCCAUUAGCUAGUUGGUAGAGUAAAGGUUUACCAAGGCGAAGAUGGGUAGCCGGCCUGAGAGGGUGAACGGCCACACUGGGACUGAGAUACGGCCCAGACUCCUACGGGAGGCAGCAGCUAAGAAUAUUCCGCAAUGGACGAAAGUCUGACGGAGCGACGCCGCGUGUAUGAGGAAGGCCGAAAGGUUGUAAAGUACUUUUAUCGCUGAAGAAAAAGUGUGGCAGGGAAUGGCCAUAUGAUGACGCUAGGCGAUGAAUAAGCCCCGGCCUAAUUAC